GCUUCCGUAGCUUAGCGGUCUAAAGCUGCCCGCUCAUAACGGGUCGAUCGUCGGUUCAAAUCCGACCGGAAGCACCA
rnacentral:tRNA from 1 species